AGAGACACUGGUUUCCCUUACCUCCCGUAGUUGGGGGAGUUAAGAGACCAUGUUUGGAAAAUGCACAGGAAACAAAAUCUAGAUCAAUGGGCGAGGAAAGGCAGCCAGCCGCUGGGUGCUUGCUGGCCUCACCCAGUCCCCUGAGACCACCUCCUCCCUCCACAAGGUCUCUUCCGUGAGAGUCAGGCUGAGUUUGAAAUCUCUGAUCAGUUCCUGCUGAGAGCUCCUGGGGGUUCCUUUAAACACCUCUUUUAAUUGGGAGCUCCUUUCCUCCUAAGAGGAAGAUCUUCUUAUGGACUACUGAGGCUGCCUCUAUAAUUUGUGCCUCGAACCUCCAACAGCCAGAGAUUUGAAGGCAGGGAUCACAAGUUCCCGGCAUCCUAUCUUCCUCAGCACCUAAGCUCCAGCACCGACCAAGUGAAGUCUGAAGUUCCAUCUUAGGUACCUUCUAUCUAAGAUUUCCCUAUGAGCCCAUUGUACAGGAAGGAAAUCAAGGCCCGCUGAGAGCACGUGACUCAUCGCGAGGUCGUGAUGGCAAAAGUCGUGGGGCCGAUGAGUAAAUGACACUUUGUCCCUUUCACCUCCUUGUCUGUAAGAAGCUGGGAAUGAAAGGACAGCAAGCAGCCCAGAGCACAACGCUUGACAAUUGCUCACUAACGCCAAGGAAGAGCUCAGGGUUACAAAAGGCUUGAGAUAGUAUCAGUGUCUGUGUGCCAAGGGACAUCCCAGGCACAGAAGGUCUUCCUUCCCAACAUGGGCAGAACUGAGAAGCUGAACUGGGAGUUAGAAGUGUUCUGUCUCAUCACCAUGGGCUCCCAGCACCAUCUCCUGGCUUCUCAUCUCCCAAGGUUGGGGGAAUGGGCACUUCUGGUUUGGCUCAUGACCGGCCUGAGACCAUUGUAUCUUCAUGGUUUGCCCCCAAGCCUUCUCCAAAGGAUCGGAGUGGCUGCUUGUCCAGCCCUGCCGCCCUCUGCCCUCACACACUUUCCCUGCUGCAGGUCUCCAUCCCUCAAGAAUUCAGUUGAUGAAUGUAGCUCCAUGGUGUGGCGCUCUCCUGUGUGCUUGAAGCCCUGGAUCCCAACUUCAGCACGGAACAAAGCAAUCAACUGAGAUGGUGUUUCCCAGCAUCCCUUGCUUCUCUGCCUCUGGGUACCACUUUUGAUGCUACCUGAAAAUGAGGAGGAAGGCAGGCCUUCACAACAGGAGCCCAAGGCCGGCUCUGCCUUGGCUGGCCGAUGGGUUGAGAAGGCCUAGGUCUAACCAAAGCUCCGGCUUUUUUACUCCCUGGGUCACCUGUGGUCCUGCUUUCAACUCAGUAUGAAAAUGAAUUGGAGAUUUAGAAUGAGAAGCCUGCUUCAUGGGUUGCUGACUCCACAACAUGACCCACUGGCUCCUCGGAGCAGCCCUACAGCGUGGGGGAUUCACGGGGGAAGUGGGGGAAGUGGGGGAAGCAAAGCCUAUGUGAGCUGUCAUUUGAGAGACACUUUCUUUGUGCCUGUCAACAAGACAUAAAGCUCUCUUCACAGAAAGACUCAUUUCGUAGCCAUGGAGACAGUCUCUCUAUUGCCUUUCUCCCCCAGUUUUAAGAGGAAGGUCUUGCCAGGCAUUGGCGGUGUACCCCUUUAAUCCCAGCACUUGGGAGGCAGAGGCAGGAGGAUCUCUCAGUUUGAUGCUAG